rfam:Chlamydomonas reinhardtii strain CC-503 cw92 mt+ CHLREscaffold_6 genomic scaffold, whole genome shotgun sequence.
AAACCGGUGUUUCUCAACACCACCAAUAGUCAGCGGCGCUAUUAU